CCCCCUCCAUCCUGGUCUCGGUGAAGGAUCAGCAGCUGAUGGUGAAGGUGCAGUUUCCCUGUGCUGCCAACAGGAGGUGCUCUCUGGAGAGGUGCUGUCCCAUCUCUGAACUGAUUGACCCCUGGACAACAGUGACUGUGUACAACAAUAUCAAUCGCUCAGAAUACCAGGUCAGAAAAUCUGUGAGCCGUUGUUGUUUGGCUCAGACUAUCAAAGUCCUGCCGGUGCAAGUACAUGAAAAAGUUUGAAUCCUCUUUGAAAUUAAGUUUGAUUAUGGAGACCUCUUCAACACAAAAACUGUUAAGCUGAUUAAAUGUUGCUGCAGCGUUUUGUGUUGUUGCAGAGCCGGACGGUUUGGACCCAGGAGGUCGUCUCCUUUGUGGCGUUUCCUGGUUUGUCUCCUGGUCAGAACUACUGUGCUGUGGCCAACUUCUCCUUUCCGACCUUCUCCAUGGCUGCAUCCCCAAAGUCCGCCCCUCAGUGUGUUGAGAUCGUCUCAAAAUCAGGGCUGGUGCCUGCACUGGGUCUGGGAGUCCUGCUGACGUCCCUGCUCCUCGUCCCGCUCCUCGUAGUGUUUGUGAAAAGAACAAGACCAGCUGCACCGACCACAGAGUGUCAACCCAAAACUCUGGCGUCUCUUCAGGACUCAGUCUCUCUGGUCCCCCUGUCCCUGGUCCCAGUUGACCCUUGCGACAUUCACUUGGAAGUCCCCAUCGACCACAUUUCCACUGAGUCAUCCUCCAGUCAGGACUCCGACCAGGAGAAGAUUUCAGCCCUGGGAAAGUCCCACACCUGUGAUCCUUUCCAACACCAUCCCAGGACUGAUGCAGUUUACUGGGACAGCAGAGGGAUGGAGCUGGACCUGGACCAAGGCCUGGACUCUGGCAUCAGCAUCCCUCAUGUGUCUCAUUCUUUUGAGACAACAAACGGAGACUGA
rnacentral:lncRNA from 1 species